rnacentral:rRNA from 1 species
UACGGGGGGGGCAAGCGUUGUUCGGAAUUACUGGGCGUAAAGGGCUCGUAGGCGGCCAACUAAGUCAGACGUGAAAUCCCCAGGCUUAACCUGGGAACUGCGUCUGAUACUGGAUGGCUUGAAUUCGGGAGAGGGAUGCAGAAUUCCAGGUGUAGCGGUGAAAUGCGUAGAUAUCUGGAGGAAUACCGGUGGCGAAGGCGGCAUCCUGGACCGAGAUUGACGCUGAUGAGCGAAAGCCAGGGGAGCAAACGGG